rnacentral:rRNA from 1 species
UGGGGAAUAUUGCACAAUGGGCGCAAGCCUGAUGCAGCCAUGCCGCGUGUAUGAAGAAGGCCUUCGGGUUGUAAAGUACUUUCAGCGGGGAGGAAGAGAGUAAAGUUAAUACCUUUGCUCAUUGACGUUACCCGCAGAAGAAGCACCGGCUAACUCCGUGCCAGCAGCCGCGGUAAUACGGAGGGUGCAAGCGUUAAUCGGAAUUACUGGGCGUAAAGCGCACGCAGGCGGUUUGUUAAGUCAGAUGUGAAAUCCCCGGGCUCAACCUGGGAACUGCAUCUGAUACUGGCAAGCUUGAGUCUCGUAGAGGGGGGUAGAAUUCCAGGUGUAGCGGUGAAAUGCGUAGAGAUCUGGAGGAAUACCGGUGGCGAAGGCGGCCCCCUGGACGAAGACUGACGCUCAGGUGCGAAAGCGUGGGGAGCAAACAGG